AAUGAGAGUGGCGAACGGGUGAGUAACGCGUGAGCAACCUGCCUAUGACAGUGGGAUAGCCUCGGGAAACCGGGAUUAAUACCGCAUAAAAUCGUAGAAACACAUGUUUUAACGGUCAAAGAUUUAUCGGUCAUAGAUGGGCUCGCGUCUGAUUAGCUAGUUGGUGAGAUAACAGCCCACCAAGGCGACGAUCAGUAGCCGGUCUGAGAGGAUGAACGGCCACAUUGGAACUGAGACACGGUCCAAACUCC
rnacentral:rRNA from 1 species